rnacentral:rRNA from 1 species
AGAUUGAACGCUGGCGGCAUGCUUUACACAUGCAAGUCGAACGGUAACAGGCCGCAAGGUGCUGACGAGUGGCGAACGGGUGAGUAAUGUAUCGGAACGUGCCCAGUCGUGGGGGAUAACGCAGCGAAAGCUGCGCUAAUACCGCAUACGAUCUAUGGAUGAAAGCGGGGGACCGUAAGGCCUCGCGCGAUUGGAGCGGCCGAUAUCAGAUUAGGUAGUGGUGGGUAAAGGCUCACAAGCCAACGAUCUGUAGCUGGUCUGAGAGGACGACCAGCCACACUGGGACUGAGACACCGGCCCAGACCUCCUACGGGAGCAGGACAGGUGGGGUAAUUUUGGAACAAGUGGGACGACGAA